rnacentral:sRNA from 1 species
AGCCUAAACUUGCCAAGCCAAAUUAGCAAGCAUGGCGCAAACCCAACCACGGCAGAGAACUCCUCGUUCAGGAGCACCGUGGUUGGUCCCAUCCGGAAACGGGUGGUGGGUGGCGUAAGCCAUC